CUUCACGUGUCUUGCAACACUAUGCCUUCCUGUCUCUUUUCACGGUCGCCACGCGUGUAUCGGCUCGAUAAAAUGCGUUCACGGUCGCCACGUUCAAAAUUAGACGUUUACCCGCGCGUUCGACGCAUUUCCGGUAUAAGUUCCUAUUGAAAUUGUCGCUAGCGUCCAGGUAUUCGAAAUAUGAAACGAAUUGGCGGGAAUUCGUUCGAAUAAAGCAACUAGGCGUCCAUUGUUUCUUUCCUUCGUUAUUAUUUCUUCCGCAUUUUAUAAUAAUAGCUGGCAAGAAAUAGAUAAACUUAUUAAAAGAAUUGACACGAUAAGGACGAACAAAGAUAGUGCUUUAAACAAGUUUAUGAAUAUAUAGAUUGAAUGAUAUUUACCAUUUAAUUUAAAAAAGGAUAAAAAUAGACUGUUUCCGAUACCAAUCUUAAAUUUUUAUUCAAUUUGAUACAGAGAUGAAUACACACUUGUCUUAAUAACGAAGAACGAAUAAGGUUUCGUCUAGACAAACUUUUGUUUAUGAAUUAUAACGAUAAUACUCUAUAUCCAAAUUUAUUUGAAUAAUGCCCAACUUUGAUUUAAUACAUUUCUACAAGUACGAUGUCAUAGUUAGAAGAAUCGUAUGUAUAUUUAAAAUACCCGCGGUAUUCAUCCAUUUUUGCGAGCUUUCGUUUACCAAGCAGUUACAAAUCAUGAUUACUUCACGAUCUUACGUUAUCUAACGAUUUUCAAUGCUAAAAGUUAUUAUCAGUAUUCUGUAAUUAUAACGAUUAGAGUCAGGAAAGUAUCGUUCCAAUCGUCUAUACAUUUUAAAGCACAUAUGAUUCAGCGUCAUUGCAUUGCGAAAGGUACAUCGACGGUCAUUAGGUGCAAUAUCUAAAGUCAGGGAGAGCUUUAUUCGCAAACAAAGGGAAAGGAACACUGUGUCAAGGUUGAAAAGUGUGACCGAGAUUUCUACAACUUAAUAUGAUUGUAUCCGAUUUGGUGUAGCCAUUACUACAUAAUAUUCCAAUGUACCGAUCGAUUAUUAUCGACACGAGUACCCCUCGAUUGUCUUUGGGGUGGUUUCGAGUUUGCGCUGUUAAAAGUACAAGAAUGAGAUGCAAGGUCAAUCUCUCACGAAGAAGGAGGUCAACGGGGCGCGACUUGCGUAACCCUGGCGAAUGGCCAGUAUGUUAGGGAGCACGACGCCAGAGUUCAAUGGAGUAACUUCAAGUAAGGUGUAUUUAUACACCUUGAAGAUGCGUACAUACGUAGCGGACCUUGUAAAGAAUAGACUAACUCUAAAAGUGUCUACAACGAGUACUUACCGCGCCGCGCCGUGGCGCGUGGAACGAUUUCUUACAAGAAUCAAUGAAACCUAUUGAAUUUCUCACUAUAAACAAGAAUGCAACCAUUUGUUACAAUUGAGACAUUUUUAUUGUUACCAGCCGUAUAAACAUUCUUAAUGCUUAUGUGUACAUUUUCCUCGUCACACAUUUGUGAAAAUAAUUAAUUGUGCUCAAGUAUUACCAGAUUAUACCAUUAUGCGAAGCCAAUUACUCAAGUAAUAGACUCUAUCGUAUUUACGACUUUUGGAACGAUAUCGUUAUCUACUUUUCGUAAUAAUAUAUUCUAAAUUUAGUAAUAUUCUGUAUCAUUACAAUAUUGAAACGUUUUCGUUCAUUCACCUAGACGUUUAGACUGUACCAGGAAAUUUCACGUUUAUCGCAAAUACUUGAUAUCUGUCUUCUGAUAAUGCUUACGCGUAUGUAAUUGAAUCGACUUGGCCAGCAAGUAUAUCUUUCUAAAGCUU